CAGGUGUUUAGCAUAUUACAUCAAACCUUCAAAUGGUAAGAUCUUAAAUCCGAGUUCAACUCUUGUUUUCGUAAUGGGCUUUUGAGAUAUUUUUUAAAAAGAUUCAGAAGCCGAAAGCUGAAAUGCAGCACAAAUUUCGAUUAAAUUUGAAAUCGAAAUAAUAUGCAAAAAAAAACAUAUUGAAUGAGGCAUAUAAACAGCAAAACGAACUAACACCACGGCGACGAUUUGCGUUCCGUCCCCUUUUUCCAUUGUUCGGCACCGCAACGCAUUUCUUCUCAUGAUCUCUGAACCUGUCUGGAUCCAUGUGGAAAUUUUUUUUGCAGACCAAACACUUGCUUCCCGUUUUGUCGUAAUGGUUCUUGAUCGAUUGGUACACGUGAAUCUCCUUCUCCCUCGGCGUUGCUAGAGUUAAUACAUCUAAAACAGAGUUAAUGCACACUAUUAGAGUUAAUACAUCCAAAACAUAGUUAACAAUAGAUGUUAAAAAUCUAUUAGAGUUAAUACAUUCAAAACAGAGUUAAUGCAAUCUAUUAGAGUUAAAGAGUUAAUGCAAACUAAUAUAUUUAAUGCAAGUCACAUUAUUAUCGAUUGUGUAUUCAUCAAUAAUUUUUUUAAACGCUAAUGUUCAAACUAAUCAUGACUCUCUAAAUUUUGCUGCAUGUGAACCAAAACAUUGUGAACCAAAACAUUGUUGUGAAAUGUGUACUAAUCAAUAAUUUAUUAAUACAUUCGCUAAUCGAUGAUCUAAGCUAGUUUUUCUAAUUUUUGCUCAAAACAUCAAGGCCUCGUUUAGUUGCCAAUAAUCUAAUUUGCUAAUAAAAUGUUGAAUAAUCUAACGAGAUCCCUCUAAAAAGGUAAAAUAAAGCAAGAUAUGUGGAUAUUUAUCAUAAAAAAAAAUCCAAUUAUUAAACGAAUAAUAGCUUAUCUUUCCAACUAAACAAGGCUAACACUUAUAUAUUUAUCUAAGUCAAAAAAAAUUCUGGAAAAAUAGAGUAAAUCUAAAACAACAACAUUAACAGGUGUUAAAUACACUUCCCAAAAAAAAAAUGUUAAAUACAACUACUUAAACACAAGCGCCGAAAUCAUGCUUCAUUUUCAAAUCUGUUUAGUGAUUACUAAUUCAUAUUAUAUUAAGAAAUACCCCACUAAAAUUGAAUGUUUGAAUCUUCAUUUUCAAAUCAGAUCUGUGAUUACUAAUUCAUAUUAUAUUAAGAAAUACUCCACUAAAAUUGAAUGUUGGAAUCUUCAUUUUCAAAUCUGAUCAGUGAUUUCUAAUUCAUAUUAUAUUAAGAAAAUACCAUACUAAAAUUGAAUGUUGGAAUCUACCUACUUUACCGAUGUAACACAUUAUUUAAUUAAAAAAUGAUGAUUAACAGACAACAUACCUUAGCUUCGCGGCGGUAGGGUUUGAACUUUGAAUUCUCUCGAAGAUGGGUAAGUUCUUCAAUGGUGUGAGAAUUAUAAUUAUAUGAUCGUUUGCUUUUUC
rnacentral:lncRNA from 1 species